rnacentral:misc_RNA from 1 species
AAGUCGUAACAAGGUCUCCGUUGGUGAACCAGCGGAGGGAUCAUUACUGAGUACUACACUCUCUACCCUUUGUGAACUAUUAUACCUGUUGCUUCGGCGGCGCCCGCGAGGGUGCCCGCCGGUCUCAUCAGAAUCUCUGUUUUCGAACCCGACGAUACUUCUGAGUAUUCUUAGCGAACUGUCAAAA